UACGUAGGGUGCAAGCGUUGCCCGGAAUUACUGGGCGUAAAGCGCACGUAGGCGGAUACUUAAGUCAGGGGUGAAAUCCCGGGGCUCAACCCCGGAACUGCCUUUGAUACUGGGUAUCUCGAGUCCGGAAGAGGUGAGUGGAAUUCCGAGUGUAGAGGUGAAAUUCGUAGAUAUUCGGAGGAACACCGGUGGCGAAGGCGGCGUCCUGGACCAAUACUGACACUGAGUGAGCGAAAGCCAGGGGAGCAAACGGG
rnacentral:rRNA from 1 species